CCCUUCACCAGGGUGGGAAAGGGAGAGGCUCGCCCAGGUACACGCAGUGAAUGAAACAGUAAUGCCUAACAAACAGAAAUACAAACACCCUCAACUGCAGACACCGGGCUCAUUGCAAAGCAGACGGAGGCAAAACCCACGCGCUCCAGACUGGGGUAAUCGCGGUGUGAAGACGUCUGCCCCYCCAGAGAACGCUAUUAAAAUUUACAACGAUAGAGACGUCAGAACAGAUGACCACGGGGAUGAGCCACACGACCGCAGCCGGCUCUGUGGAAAGAGCGUUCAGGACGUGUCCCGUGCAGCUUUGUCAUGGGGGAGUGAGCUGCCCAACGACAGUGCAUUACAGGCUACUUGUAUUUCUUUCUACUCAGACAUUGACGUGACAAAUACAUGAUGUAUCAUUGUUGUUUCAGACAGCUGGGUAGGGCUGACUUCAUUACUCAGCAGCAAAGAGCUUCUGCAGCUCCUCUCCUGCAAUCAGUUACAUCCCAURGCUCCUGGUGC
rnacentral:lncRNA from 1 species